GUUGAGUUAAAAAUGGCCGAGAGCUUCACAAUCUGCAGCACAACCGAUUUAGCUUAUGUCGCAGGUUGUGUCGAUCGUCAGAUAUUCACACCGAGAACGACACAACCCGCGACACAACCGAUUCAGCUUAUGUCGUUUUUACUGGAAAUGGCUGACGUGGCAUUUUCGUUACUCUGAUUUUAUACCUCACUUUCUCUGGAAUCUUCCAUCUUUUUACCCAUUCUAGGGUAGAUCUCUGAACCAUAUAAAAGCCCCUUUAUAUAUUUCUUUCCAUAAGGAGAGAAAGAGAGAGAUUUUUGGCAAGAAAGAAGGAGAGAAAGAAGGGCACGUCUGGUUUGGCAAGCAGCAGCAGAGGACAUUUCUGCAACUCUCCAGCAGCUGAUACUUCAUCAUUCUACUGGGUUUUUCUAUUCCUUAGCUUAGAUUUUCAUUAUUUCUUCAUUUCUAUACUUGGGUUUGUCUUGAAACCAUGAUUUGUGAGUAGAACUUUGAGAUUCUAGAGAUGGGUAUGUAAAUAUUGCCUUGUAUUGUGGUUUUUGAACUGAUUUAGCUAUUUAAAUGAGAUUUGUUGUAUUUUUUAUUUAUUGUCUUGCGAGCUUAUUGUCUUGCUUGAUAAAGGGUCCUCAUUAAGUUAUGUCUUAAUCCUUUACAAAUGGACUAAAAUGUGAAUAUUUGGGAUAGAUAAUCUUGCAAUAAACUUAGUUUUCUUGGUGUUAGAGAUAAGCUAAGAGGAUUAAGGGGACAUUCCAAAAUCAAUUAGAGCUUUAAUUGGGUUUUUGUUAAGUUUGAAAUACCGUGAAAACAGGGUUUGAUUUAAUGAAAACCAAUUUUGAGAUGCUUGAAAAAGGUUUCAAAAAUUUAAGAAUUGAUUUCCCUCAAAAUUGCAAUUCUCAUGUGUUUGGCUAAAUUAGGGAAAAAUCACAUGCAAACAAUAUUGAAAAUCCAAUCUCUAGAAUCAAUUUAUUUUUCAUUGAAAUUAGAUAUAAAUCCUCCAAACCUCAUAAAUAGCAAUUUCAAUUAAAAUCCAAUUUAAAUUUAAUUCCAAUUUAAAUCCAAUAUCUAGAAUUACUUUAUUUUUUUUUAGAUUUAAUUCUUCUUAAUUUCAUAAAUAGAAAUUUCAAAUUAAUUUUUGGUAAUCUAGUUUAAUUAAUUUUAGUUAAUUGAUUGAUCUAGUUUUAAUUCCUCAAAUACCAAUUUUAAUUCCAAAUUUCAUUUUACAUCUUUAAUUUUUGUCUUAAUUUUAAUUUUUAGAUUUUAUUUUUAAUAUCUUUUAAUUUUUGUCAUUCUAAUUAGCUUAUACUUUUAUUUCCAAUUUAAGCACAAUUCCCUGUGGGAUCGAUAUCAAUUUUUAAAACUAUACUACUGUGACCCGUGCACUUGCGGACACACCGUAUCAAUUUCAACCCAGAAAUUGAAAAAUUCUGUCGAGCCAACAAAAAAGAGUACAAAAAAAGAAAAGAAGCAGAAAAAGAAGAACAACAAAUAUUUGAGCAAGAGGAGACAAUAGAAAAUAUGGAGAAUCAAAAUAGAGCUAUUGGAGGAGAUAAUGGAGGAAACGAGCAAAACGGGCAAAAUGCUGUUGUUAAUCAAAAUGAUCCUCAAAGAAGAUCCAUGUUAGAUUAUGCUUUUCCUAGAUGUACUGAUGUGAGAGAUAACAGACCUAUUAUUGGAGCUAAUCAAUUUGAGUUAAAAACUGAUCUCAUUCAAAUGGUUCAGAAUUCACAAUUUGGAGGUAGCCCACUUGAAAAUCCUCAUUCUCAUUUGAAGAAAUUUUUGAUGAUAUGUGGUACACAAAGACAACCUGGAGUUUCUGAUGAAGUUAUUCGGCUCACCUUAUUUCCAUUCUCUCUUCGGGAUUCAGCAUUGGAGUGGUAUGACUCACUCCCACAAGCUAUUAUAGCUACUUGGGAGCAGCUAUCUCAAGCUUUUCUAUCUCAAUUUUUCCCACCCGGGAAAACUACUCAUUUGAGGAAUUUGAUGGUAGCUUUUAAACCAAGAGAUGAUGAAACUUUGUAUGAAUCUUGGAUGAGAUUUAAGGAGCUUGAAAGGCAAUGUCCUCAUCAUGAAAUACCGAAAUGGAUGAUUGUUCAGAAUUUCUACACCAGAGUUACUCCAGCCAUAAGAAACACAAUUGAUUCACAAGCAGGAGGAGAUUUCAUGAGAAUGACAAGUGAAGAAUGCUAUGAUCUAUUAGAGAAGAUUGCUCAUAAUACCCAUUUAUGGGGAAAUCCUAGAGCACUUGAGCCAAAGAAAGCUGGGAUCUAUGAACUAGACUCAGUUAGCUACAUGAAUGCAAGAUUUGAUCAGUUGACUCAGCUUCUUAGUGAUUUUUGCACAAAGGCAACAACCUCAACUCCUACAACUAUGCAACAAGUUGCCUUCACAGAUGGAACUCAAAGUUGUGGAGUUGAUUACUCUUCUUAUGGUGAUGAUUAUUUGCAGGAGCAAGCUGCUUAUGCAGGAGGUUAUCAAUAGAAACCUAUGGGAAAUGCUUACUCUAAUGUGAACAACUCAACAUGGAGACCACAAGCAACUUUUGCUCAACAAGGCCAAAGCUCAAAUUAUGCUCAUAACCAGCAGUUUAUGCAGCAAAAUAGGCCUCAAUUUCAGCCUCAAUUUCAGCCCACAAGGCAGCCACCACCUGGAUAUCAAGCAAGAGCACAACAAUCCCUUCCACCUCAUGAACCGAAGCCAACCUUGGAAAGCAUGAUGGAGAAAUUUUUUGCUGAACAAAGCAAGAUGAAUAGCAAAUUGGAGGAAGAAAUGCAACACAUGAGACAAACCAUGGAUCAAUUACAAGUCCACAACCGCAUGUUGGAGACUCAAUUGGCGCAACAAGCAAGCUCAUCAGGAAGCAAUUCCUAUGGGAAACUACCUAGCCAACCACAAAACCCUCAUGAACAAUGUAAGGCUGUAACCUUGAGAAGUGGUAAAAAAGUUGGUCAAGAGAGUGAAAACAAGAGAGAAGAAAAAGAGAGCACAAAAGAAGAAAAUUCAGUUGAGAGCAAAAAAAAUGAAAAAGAAGAAAAAAACAAAAGUGAGCAGGAUGAGGGAGAGAAGCCAUACAUCCCACCUAAGCCUUAUAAGCCUACUCUACCCUAACCUCAAAGAUUCAUCAAGCAUAAACUAGACAAACAAUUUGGAAAAUUCCUUGCAGUGCUAAAGAAGUUGUAUAUCAAUGUGCCAUUCACUGAGGCACUAUCCCAAAUGCCAAGUUAUGCGAAGUUUUUUAAGGAGAUUUUUACCAACAAGAGAAGGCUGGAGGAUUAUGAUACCAUCAAUUUGGGAGAGCAAUGCAGUGCUAUAAUUCAGAAAAAGUUACCUCCCAAACUCAAAGAUCCGGGUGUGUUUUCCAUCCCUUGUCAUAUUGGUGAUAAUUGUGUGGCAAAUGCUUUAUGUGACCUUGGAGCUAGCGUCAGCCUAAUGCCUCUUUCAAUAUAUGAGAAGUUGAAUAUGGGAGAAUUGAAGCCCACAAACAUGUAUCUUUCAUUAGCUGACCGUUCAAUUAAGUAUCCGGAAGGCAUUCUUGAAAAUGUGCCUAUCAAGGUUGGGAAAUUUUACAUUCCGGUGGACUUUGUCAUUUUGGAUAUGGAAGAAGACACGAAAGUUCCUAUCUUAUUGGGAAGACCCUUUUUGGCAACAGCUGGUGCAUUAAUUGAUGUGAAGGGUGAGCAAUUGACGCUUAGAGUGGGAGAUGAUCAAAUGAUAUUCAACAUCAAUCCAGCCAUGAAAAGGAAACAUGAAGAAGUUGAGUCUUGUUUGCGGGUAGACAUUAUUGAUGAGAUUGUUCAAGAGCAUUUCAGAAAAAGCUAUCCACAAGACCCACUUGAAAAUUGCUUAGUCCAUGGUGGGAGCAUUAAUGAUGAAAAUCACAACAUGGCUAUUUUUGCACAACACUUGGAGAGCUCUCCACCACAUCCUGAAGCCACAAUUUUUCAACUUGAAGAAGUGCAAAAUUUGGAGAUCAAACCACCAUCAUUAAAGGUAGAGGAUGCCCCAAAGGUAGAUCUUAAACCUCUUCCUUCCAACCUCAGGUAUGCUUUUCUUGGACCCAAUGGAACAUAUUCUGUCAUAAUUAAUACAUCUUUGACUGAUAUUGAGAAUGAAAAAUUGUUGAGAGUUUUGAGAGAAUAUAGAAGAGUUUUGGGUUAUGCAAUUGAUGAUAUAAAGGGAAUUAGCCCAACAGUUUGUAUGCAUAGGAUUUUCCUAGAGCCAAAUAGUAAACCUUCCAUUGAACACCAAAGAAGAUUGAAUCCUACAAUGAAGGAUGUUGUGAAAAAGGAAAUCCUGAAAUUACAAGCUGCUGGACACAAAAGACUUUUACAACUUGAUGAGUUAGAAGAAUUAAGACUUGAUGCUUAUGAAAAUGCUAGGAUCUAUAAAGAAAGAACUAAAAAAUGGCAUGAUAAGCAUAUCAAGAAAAAGGACUUUAAAGAAGGAGAUUUGGUUCUCUUAUUCAAUUCAAGGUUGAAAUUUUUUUCGGGAAAAUUAAAAUCAAGGUGGUCAGGUCCAUUCAAAAUUGUGAAAGUUUUACCUCAUGGUGCUGUGGAAAUUUUUGGUGAAAAAUCAGGUAAUUUCAAGGUAAAUGGGCAAAGGUUGAGGCACUAUUCAGUUGGUGAGCCAAUUGAGAAGAUAGCAACUUGCUAUCUUUCUCAUUCUCCAUGAAAUUUUGAGUAAGUAUGGUCAAGCUAAAGACCUAAACUUAGCAUUUUUGUGCAUAACUCCCAAUUUUUUCUUUCAUUUGUUUUAAGUUUAUUUUUAUUUUUAUUUUUAUUUUUAUUUUUAUU
rnacentral:misc_RNA from 1 species